AGCGUGCAGUCUGUCCUGGGCAGAAACCCUUGUCAGGGACAGUAGCGCGGGGAGAGAAGUCUUACCACCGCGAGAGAGAGCACACGGCGAGGUGUGCACCCGUGCGGAGAUGCCCGAAAACAGCAACGGGCUCCAGACAGCGAGACACGAGGGGAGAAUUCACAAGUCCGCCUCCCGGAGGACUCACAGCACACAGUGGGAAGAAAGCCCCUGGAGCCAGGGUCCUGCUCCAUCCCCGGAGGAGAACUGACCUCUUUUCAGGAAGAGAUAACAGCCAGCGGAGCCUCAGCUUCUCCAUGACCCGACAGCCACAAGGGAACUGGCGCUGGACCUGAGUUAGCAACGCCAUCUUGGUCUUUCCGAGCUGGUGUAGCCAGAGGGGCCCUUAUUAAAUGACUGUGACGGAGUACGGGACCAGUUCUCCCAUUCCCCUGAGAAGGAUGGUGGAGCCAAGGGGACAGUUCACCUACUCAGGUGUGAGGCAGAAGGUGAGAGAAACAGGCAGCAGGAUGGAGGAUUCCACAUCCUACAUGGUUUAAGCCACUUUUUGAGGAGUUGCGGUUUCAAAAGCCCACCCUUGCCAGGCGUGGGGUGCAGGGCUUUGACCCCAGCACUCAGGAGGCAGAGGCGGGUGGAUCUCAGGUUGAGGCAGCCUGGUCUACGGAGUGAGUCCAGGACAGCCAGGGCUAUGCCCCUGAAGGUGGAUGUCCUAUCUCAAUUCCCCUCCCCCUGGGAAAAAAAAUCCACCUUCAGGGACCCACAUCGGCCAGCUGGGCCCUCCCACCUGAAAUUGGUCCCCAGCCUUUCGAACACCGCCACCAGCUGGUGAGCAAGGCUCCAAGCCGGGAGCCUGAAGCGGGCGUUCAAUUUAAAGCAUACAUACAGACGGUCAGGCGAGUCCCACUAAUUCACCCAAACGUGUGGCUUGGGAAGACGCGGAAAGAGCUGACAAGCUGCUGCCCACCCUCCUGUUCCAGCUUGACACAAGCUUGGAGUCAUCUGGGAAGAACCUGGUGGGAGCUGCCUCCACCAGGCGGCCGGUGGGCAUGUCGGCAGGGCACUGGUUGACCUCGGGUAUGGUGCUCGUCAAAGCACAAUAUAAAGCAAUCUGAAACAUCGCCCACGGGAUGAAACCGCGGCUGCGCUGUGACCCGCAGCUCAAGGCAAAGGUGACAGAUGCAGUUCAGAGAGGAUGGCUCAUUCCCCAGGAGCUGGGUCUUUGCGUGCGUACGGAAAUGCAGAGCAAAAAGAAAAACUAAAUAUAUUCAUUUCUUGGCAGUUGUUUUCUGUAAUAGAUAAAGGGAGCAGAGAAUGUUUUGGUGAAUCUCAUGGGGCCAAGGCUAUCCGUGGGCCAGCCUGCGGCUGCCUCUCUCGCGGUGGCGAGGCAGAGAGUCACAAGCAUGUCCAGGUCCAGGUCAGGGGAGGGCAGGCUGAUUUGAGAAGGAUAAGAACAGAGAAAGUGUGUGCAGCGUGUCAAAGGCUCAGCACUGGGUUGUUGGGCCUGGUGUGUGCAGGGUAUCAGGGACUCGCCUUAUGCUUAUUGGGAACAGGCCCGGCACAGGACACUGUCUCUAAUCCCAGAACUCAGGGGGCUGGUGCAGGAGGACCGUAAAUUUGAGGCUAGCCUUGGCUAUAUAUGAAGACUAUUUCAGCAACAACCCCCCCUCCAAACGGCAUGUAUUGGUAGGA